ensembl:lncRNA
AUUGUUGUGAAUCUGUAAUUGUCUGCUUUUGGAAGGGAGACUUUCUGUCAAAUAGUGUAAAAGGAUAUAAGCUGAAUUCUAACUUGGGGUUUUAAUUGAGAAGGAUGAUUUUGAAAGAUUGUGAAAAUCAUAGGAGGUUGAGAGGCAAGAUAGCCAUGUGGAUCUGUCAGGGUUGUAUGAAGCUAAAAUAUUUCUUAGUUUAAGAAACUCAGGCAGAAAACUUCAUUAUGUAUUCAUUUCAACAGCAGCAGUGUUAUUACAGCUAGGAGAGGCCUAAUGGUGCCAGUGGCAUAAAGCAUCAAGCUUUUGUCCUGAACUGCUUUAUGUCUCACAACCGUACAGAUGCUGCUUCACAACUUCUCUGAGGUUUGUGAAUUCAGGAUAUCAUCUGUGCAUAACAUUUUGUUACUUAGUUUUUGAACAGUUGUAGUGGCAAUAAAUCCCAGCAACAUCUUUAUCAGUGAGAUGCUAUAAUGUUAAGUGGUCCAUGAAUCGUUGGAAGAAGCACAUCAGUAGUCUGAUAAUGCACCAUUUGGCAUUGUAUUCCAGAGAAGAAAAUGAGUUAGACAUUAUUGGUUUUCAUUUUCUGCAGUUCUCUAUUUCAGAAGGUGGACAAUUUGUAUUUGCACUGUGAAGAGGUAGAACAGAACA